ensembl:lncRNA
GGACAGGCUCGCUCCUCGGGGCCUCCAGCAGCCCCUCAUCUUGCCGCCUCUGCAGGAGAGGGCCUUUCCCAGCAGGUGCGCCUCUUUGGCUCUGACGAGCCGGGCCUUGGCCACUUGCCGUCCCCAAGGCUAGGGCUGUGGCCAGGGCUUGCCCUGUUUGGGCUCUCGGGCCUUGGGUCCCGAGUCCUGCCAGGGGUGGGUGGGUGGAGUAGCUUUCUCCAAACCACUGCGCCUGGGGUGGGGGUGGGGGCUGGGGUCUUCGUGGGUGCAGGACGGGAGGGCCCUGGGCCUGCCAGGGAAGGGUCUUAGAAUCCGAGGAGGAACCUGGGCCCCAUCCUGGGGCUGGGGCAGGCGAGGCGAGCUCUGCGGAAGGGUGGCACUGACAAAGGGUGGGCUGGGGGCCGGGAGAGGCUCCCGGGGUGGUGGUCUCAUCUGGCAGCUUCGCGUCCCCGUCACAGGGUGGGUCCCAGAGCCCCCUGCCCACCUUUUCUACAAAGCUCCGCAGGGAGUCCCAGCUGUGGCCGGGGGGGCAACGUCAGGGACCUUUUGCAGGGGCCCAGGGAUGAGGUCAGGACUUUCCACAGCGGGGUGGCUGUCUGGGCGGGGGAGGGGGCCGCUGACACCUGGCGAGACAGUAGGACGGAGAUGGUGCCUGGUGCCCCCGGCUCUCGAGAUGGAAAUGGGCUCGUCUGCUCUGCUCCCCUUCAGCCCCGCUCCGGCCACUCCCGUGCGGAAGGAGCUGUGGGCUGGACUAACCCAUGAUGGGGGGGCCAGUUUCAAGCGCUGCUUUUAAAAGACAGCAGCUUGUAACAGUGACGGGUGAGGCCUGAACAAAUAAAGGGCGGUGCUGGGAUUGCCCUGAGCGUGGUGGUGAUGCUGCCGAUCCCUUCGGCCCCAGGGGACGCAGCGUCCAUUCACUCAGUGGGAGCCCUACUAUGUGCGGGGCCUCCAGUGGUGACCAGGACCUACGGAUCGUACCUCUGCAUCCUCAACCUGAGCCUGGCCUUCCGUGUCUGUCCGUCUGCCCCAGGAUGCCCCAAGAGGCUGGCAGCGCCGAGUUCAGCCUUACCCUGGAGACCAUGUGGNAGUGGCCGCCCUGAGGUCUCAGGCCAGGCACGUGGGACUGGGAGGGCCUCCCGUGCCCAGAACAUGCCCGCUUCCCUUCCCUGCAGAUCCGGGGCAGCCUGUGUUCAUGGGGGGCCCGUUACUGCUUGGUGUUUGGCUGAGCAGCUGCCCCCCAGCUCCCUUUAAAGAGUCCCUCUGUCUAGUAGUGACCACAUGUCCUGCAAUGCUGUUUCUGACCUUCACCAUCGAAGGAGAUUAGGCCCCAAGGUCAAGGCCGAGCAGCAGGGUCCCGCAGCGGCUGUGGCUGUGUUUGUCCCCCCCUGCUCCCCUCUUCCCAGCUCCGCCCUCUCUCUCGUUUCCCAUCCGCAGCUUCACCACUAGGACUUCUUUUUCCAGAACCCCCGACCCCGCUGAGCUCACCCCGCUGUGGUGGGGACAUUCGCAUCGUGGAGUCAGGGCCCCGAGCUCAGAUACCAGCCCCGAUGGUGACAGGGGCUGUAUCAGCGGCAGUGGCCUUGUGCCUCUGGCAGCCUUCCCACCCACUGCAUGCCUGCCCAGCCCGGUGGCCCUGAGAGCUGGCCCUCCACCAUCAGAGUGGCCGGCGUGCCAUUCUUUUGAAAUGAGUAAUAGCAAAGCUAGCCCAAGAAAUGCCCAUUGUUCCCUCCCUGACGUUGCCCGGUCUCCAAAGCAUAAAAAGCUCCCAUCGCCUGGUCACGUGAUGGGGCCGGGAGGUGGGGUGGGGAGGGCAUCUUCCUGGAAGCAAGCGGGGCUGGGGGAGAGACUGGGGACACGGCCCCCAGGAACGGGGACCUCCAGCGCUAAGAGCUGCAGGUCUGGGACUGCGAAAUAAAAUGAUUUGCACAAUUGCUCCUGACUCAGAAAUCGCUUUGAACAAACAGCUCUGCGGGGUGCUUCUACUUUGGGAAACACCCCAUCAAGAUGCUGUAGUGUUAGAGCCUCAAUCUUUCUUUCACGCCGCGUCCAAACCACAUCCUUCAGGUCCUGGUACCUCCAGCAGGAUCCAGAGGGACCUGGGGUUGGGGGUGACCUUCAGGUGGGGCGCUCACUCCCUGGCACCCGCUUCCCGCUGCCUCAUCCCUGGUCCAAGGGAGUUCGGCCCGUUGAACCAGCAGUCCAGAUCCUGAUGAAAUCCGUGCAAACGCGGCGCUGUCUGGUCUGGCUGGAGGAGAGCGCUUUCCCUGCCGAAGGUUUAACCUGGAAAACACCCAUGACGAGUACAAGAAGCCUUUGGGUGGAGGUUCAAAUAGUGUGUCAAGAUGCAUAAAAAAUAAAAUUAACCACGCUGUGGGGCGGGCCAUGUCUCUGAGAUGCGGAGGGUCUGAGCAAAGAUCAAAGGAACACAUAAGAACAAACUCGUAAGCGUUUUUACAUUUUUUUUUUAAUCAAAAAAGUUUGUGCUGCAAAUGGGGCUGCGUUAGAGGAUCACAGGCGUGCUCUUUAUCAGGAAGGCGGGGGACGUUGGGUGAGGUGUUCUUACGACUGGCCGGAGGUAUGGUUGUCAGCAGGAUUUCACCAUCAGCCUCAGCUGGUACACUGCCCUCUGUGUCGGUGCCUUUCCUUCCUGUGUUUGGAAUAUUUUAGCGGCCCGAGCAAUGAAAACUACAAGGUGAGUCAGGACCACCGGGGGACAUGACCAAUAGGGUCGCGUUAGGUUGCAGAACGUGGAAAUAUUGGCCCCGACCCUUGGGUCGUGGUGCGUUCAUCCUUCCUAAAAACUCUUGAUCACACGUAAUGUUUCAGUCUGGAUGUUAUGGAGCCUUGGUACCACUGUAGCUGAGCAGAGAGCAGCUGCCGCAGUGAACGAGCAAAGCUGGGAAACCUCAGCCCUCAGUCCCAUUUCUGUUUUAAGCAGAGGCAUUGGGAGGAAUCGCUGGGUUACUUUGGAAUGCGCAUUCGCAGGCCCUGGAGAGGUUGUUCUGGGAACUAGGUGAACGCCGCCUUUAGCACAGACUCCAGUUUUCUGAGCUCUGGGACAGAGUUGACAGUUUUGUCUCUGCUCACCUGUCUGAAGCCAGCCCAUCUGAAGCUUGGCUGGGGCUGGCACUCCUCCUUCCAUGGCUGGCAAGCUGCUGUUGGCUCUGGGCAGGGGACCUCACUUCCUUCCGAGGUGGACACAUCUGUAGGACCACUUGAGCGUCCUUGAUGGCUGGUAGCUGGUUUCCCCAGAGAGCGUGGUCCCAGAGAAAGCCAGACAGAAGUGGCAACUUCUUUUAGGACCUAGCAUCCGCAGUCACAAGAUCUUAUCUGCGACAUUCAAUUGGUCACACAGGUUAGCCCUACUUAUGCAAAGAACGACUAGCCCUUUGCCAAGCACAGGAGUUGGUGAGGAACUUUCUUUCUUUUAUCAUCCUGGGUGUAUUAUGGUGGCUUUUGGCUGCACACCACUGAAUUAAGCAAAGGAGCUGGGCAGAAGUUUAUGGAAUAGUCCCCAGAAUCAAUCAACUGGAAGGCUGGAGAACCAGUUUCAGAAAAGAGGCGGGAACCCAAGAGGGUUGCAGCCUGAACUGCAGUCAAGGCCAGGCCACAGGAAGCUUUCGGUGAGGAUGUGGCCUGUGGUCCAUGGCUGCUGGGGCAGCCUGGCAUUGCUGCCACUGGACUCUCACAGUUGCAGCCUCUGCGAACAGUUCCAGAACAUCUGGGCCCUCCACUCACCCUGCAGAGUCAGUCCUGGAUAGGACGGGUUGUUGGAGCCUGAGUCACCUCCCUGCCCGAUUUGGCCGCAGGUGUGUGGAGGGUGGGGCCGCAGGUGGGCUCCUGCACUGGGAGGCGGAGGGCCCGGAACCACCGAUGGUACCUGUGCGAAGGAUGCCAAGGGUAGGAUGAGCGCUGAGGCCCCAAGGGCAGCCCCCGAACACAGGCAUUCGCGCUGCCUGGUUUGUACUGAGCUCAAGGGUUAUUUUUGUCUCCAGCUAUUCCUGGUAUUACAUGUUAAUAUUUUCCUGAAAAGUCAUGUUAAUUUGAAUCGUGGUUUAUAUACACUGGCUAAGCUUAAUACCUUCUAGAAGUCUGUAGAUAAUCCUUUUGUAAAGCAGCUAAUCCUUUUAGAGAACAAAUAAUCACUUCUUAACGAUUUUUGUUAAGAUCAAGAUUCUCUAUGUUGUAUUUUCUCAAGGCAGAGUAUCCAACUUUUAGAUUUUCUCUUUUGCUCAUAGUGAGGAAAUGUUACAGCUUUAGAGAUAACGGCUUGCAUGCUGCGUGGGGAAAAAAAAAAAAAACCACUGAGGGUUUUUUUUUUGUUGUUCAUUUUUCCUUUUCUGCUGUAAUUGAUUGUCUUCUGGAAGGAAGUACAGGCUAUUAAAAUUUUUAAAGAGCUCGUUUGUAUUUUGUUCUUACCCACAAGGCUGUUUUAACAUGAGCGCGGUUAGUGGUGAAUGAAUGCAAGAACAAGCAUUUGCAGUUGUUCUGCCUGGGAGGUCAGGUUUGCAGAAUUUGCCAUUAAUGUUAGCCCUUUUCUUCUCUGGGAGGCUUGCACAUCCCGGCGGCAAGGCUGUUUGGUUCCGAGUCCUAGAGUGGCUUUCAGGUUUCCUGGUUAAUAGGAGGUGGGAGCCUGGACGGGAGGGGUGUGGGGAGCGGGACAGGGGCGUGGGCGCUGUCCUCGUGGCCCGGUGGCCAGCUCUGCAUGUGCAGAGCGGUCCUGGCGGCCAGGAGAGCUGGCGGAUGAGGGGUAGGGGGCAGGCGGGAAGCUGCUGUCGUUAUCCAGUAGCGAGACCAGAGAGGGACACAGGCAGAGAAGCACUAACAACAGCUGCCUCCGUCCAGGCACCUCCCAGCUCAGGUGUGCGCAGAGCUCUUGUCUCUUUCCCCACAGAGAAGGGGUAACACGCAGGUUCCUGGAGUGGCCGCCACCCCGCGGCAGGGCUCGCACCCCUGGAGGUCACCUUGGAGACGGGGGGUGCGUUGCUAUCUCAGGAAGACCCAAUCAGCUACCUUCUCCAGCAUUAGAACCCAUGGGUGUCACUGGGUGACACCAGGGGAAGUGCUGGCUUCUGUUUUCAAGGGUUGUAUUAUUAAAAAAAAUGUAUUCCUGGAGUUCCCGUCGUGGCUCAGUGGAAAUGAACCUGACCAAUAUCCAUGAGGAUGAGGGUUCGAUCCCUGGCCUUUCCCAGUGGGUUUAGCAGUGGGCUAUGGUGUGGGUCACAGGCACAGCUUGGAUCUGGCAUUGCUGCGGCUAUGCCAUAGGCUGGCAGCUGCAGCUCUGAUUCAGCUCCUAGCCUGGGAACUUCAAUAUGUGAGUGUGACUCUAAAAAAGAAAAAAAAAA